AACGUGGCGAGGCCAGACAGCACUUGGAAAACUGCGGUAUCCGCGUUCUGCUCUCUCCUUGGUAUCCCCAGUUGCGUGUUCCUUGAAGAGCCCGGACUAUACUUUCCACAGCCUUCUACUUUUUAAGGAAACAGUGUGGAAGACCGAUUUCAGAGAACGAUAACAAAAUCACAAGAAAUUUCAAAAAUCGUGCAGAGAGGUCCCCUGUACCUUUCACCCAGCUUCCCCCAAUGGAGGCCAGGGAUUGGAAGGAGAAUGGGGAGACAUGGUAAGGAAAGAGAAGUUACUGUUCUAAACUUC